UCUACUGCCGGGCUAUAAUCUAUGAAACUGAGCCCAGAUCCAGCCAAUCAGUUUGCUCCUCAUAACAAGUCUAACUGGCUUUGGAAAGCUGAAAGGGCUGCAGUGGAGCGGCAUAGAUAAUAUAUACCACACAACAAUCUGCUUAUCUGGAAUCACUCUGCCUGGAAAAGCCAGAAGGAAUCACGGCUUCAUUCUCCGAAGGAAGGAGGACCGGUGAUCUGGCAAAACCACAUCUGAACGUGGAACAA
rnacentral:lncRNA from 1 species